UGCGCCAGACACUGUGUGUCACAAUGGUGUGGGAGGUGAGUCCAAGAAACUCCCGAGGGAUGUCGAAACACUGUCGGAACAGUGUUCCGGGCAGUGGGGGUAAGGGGGGAGAAGGUGGGGUAGUGACACUUACCUGGUGGUUACCUGGGGGUGCCGGCGACCCGCCCGGUGGUGGUGGUGAAUUAACUAAACUGAUUCCUAAUUCAAACAUCUAAGUGGAUUGGACAGAGUGCAAACUUCAGUUUUGAAAACAAUUAAACCUCCUAAUUACCUGAAACUCAGUAUUGGGAUUUCUUAUUCGAACACAAUACAAAUGACACAAUUGGAACCAAUAGUAACAGCAAACAAUUACGGGAAUAAUCACAAAGUCUGAAUUGAACACAAAGGAAAUCAAACAUCACAGAAUCAGUUUUAAUUAACAAGAGUUUUGACUAAACCUAACUGCUCUUCUUGAAUCUUAUAGAUGCUCUGACAGUUCUAAACAUCCAUGAAUUUGGGCUAUUCAAUCCGUUAAACAAACAAGCUUAUCACAGUCCGCCUAAAGUUCUUAAUACCAAAAUCAGAACAAAUUUAUAUGGCAUAAUUUAUCUUGCGAACUACCAUUAUGCGAGUCUAAACUAUUUAUUCAGACUGAAUAAAACAAACAAAACAUUAUACCAACGAAGAACUAAAACAUGAAAUCCUAGAAAAACUGACUACUAAACAUUCAAAAAAGAAAAUGUAAAGAAAGGAGUAGAAAGAGGUGAUAAUAAAGAAAGUGAGAUAACUAAAUUAAAUCAAAAAAUUACCUCUAAAGUCUCCCACAUUGCCCCGGAUUAACUUUAAUUUUUCUUGAAUUUGUGGGCUAGAUAGUCCUUAAUUGGGUGUUCCCGAAUGAGAACACUCGACUAAGGUCAAUCUUGACCUCAAAUCUUCAUGCACUUAGUGUUUCAAAAAUUUGGGAUUUUAAGGUUCAAGUCUGAUAUAAUAUUCGAGAAAAUCCAACAAGAUUUUAGGAAAACUAGCAACGGUUAUAGGACGAGGGAGGUUGGGUGGUCAACUGGUGUAAGUUAGGGGUCAAUUGGACAGGCUAGUUCUUUUGACUGAUUUUUCGAUUGAAGAUCCGAAGACAUCGGUUGGGAUUCGAAAUGGGGAUGACAUGGUGGUUCAGGUUGUGAUUUUGGUCGGGAUCGGAGAAGGGGCCGCCGGGUUUUGAGCGGUGGGAUACGGUGCCAGGUGUUAAGGUUUCUGAGGCUGUUUGGUCUCUCUGGAGACAAAAGAGAUG
rnacentral:lncRNA from 1 species